rnacentral:tRNA from 1 species
GAGGGCGUAACUCAGUGGUAGAGUGUGUACCUAGCAUGCAUGAGUCCUGGGUUCAAUCCCUUGUACCUCCA